CCUACGGGUGACAGCAGUGGGGAAUAUUGGGCAAUGGGCGCAAGCCUGACCCAGCAACGCCGCGUGAAGGAAGAAUGCUUUCGGGUUGUAAACUUCUUUUUUCAGGGACGAAGCAAGUGACGGUACCUGCCGAAUAAGCCAAGUCUAACUACGUGCCAGCAGCCGCGGUAAUACGUCGGUGGCAAGCGUUAUCCGGAUUUACUGGGUGUAAAGGGCGUGUAGGCGGGACGGCAAGUCAGAUGUGAAAACCACGGGCUCAACCUGUGGCCUGCAUUUGAAACUGUAGUCCUUGAGUACUGGAGAGGCAGACGGAAUUCCUAGUGUAGCGGUGAAAUGCGUAGAUAUCAGGAGGAACACCAGUGGCGAAGGCGGUCUGCUGGACAGCAACUGACGCUGAGGCGCGAAAGCGUGGGGAGCAAACAGGAUUAGAUACCCCAGUAGUC
rnacentral:rRNA from 1 species